rnacentral:rRNA from 1 species
CGUACCCUGUCGUGGGGGAUAACACAGCGAAAGCUGUGCUAAUACCGCAUACGACCUGAGGGUGAAAGCGGGGGAUCGCAAGACCUCGCGCGAUAGGAGCGGCCGAUAUCGGAUUAGCUUGUUGGUGAGGUAAAGGCUCACCAAGGCGACGAUCCGUAGCUGGUCUGAGAGGACGACCAGCCACACUGGAACUGAGACACGGUCCAGACUCCUACGGGAGGCAGCAGUGGGGAAUUUUGGACAAUGGGGGCAACCCUGAUCCAGCCAUUCCGCGUGAGUGAAGAAGGCCUUCGGGUUGUAAAGCUCUUUCAGCAGGAACGAAACGGUGGCUACUAAUACUAGCUACUAAUGACGGUACCUGAAGAAGAAGCACCGGCUAACUACGUGCCAGCAGCCGCGGUAAUACGUAGGGUGCGAGCGUUAAUCGGAAUUACUGGGCGUAAAGCGUGCGCAGGCGGUUAUGUAAGACAGGUGUGAAAUCCCCGGGCUUAACCUGGGAACUGCGCUUGUGACUGCAUAACUCGAGUGUGGCAGAGGGGGGUGGAAUUCCACGUGUAGCAGUGAAAUGCGUAGAGAUGUGGAGGAACACCGAUGGCGAAGGCAGCCCCCUGGGUCAACACUGACGCUCAUGCACGAAAGCGUGGGGAGCGAACAGGAUUAGAUACCCUGGUAGUCCACGCCCUAAACGAUGCGAACUGGGUGUUGGGGAAGGAGACUUUCUUAGUACCGCAGCUAACGCGUGAAGUUCGCCGCCUGGGGAGUACGGUCGCAAGAUUAAAACUCAAAGGAAUUGACGGGGACCCGCACAAGCGGUGGAUGAUGUGGAUUAAUUCGAUGCAACGCGAAAAACCUUACCUACCCUUGACAUGUCAGGAAGUCCGCUGAGAGGUGGAUGUGCUCGAAAGAGAACCUGAACACAGGUGCUGCAUGGCUGUCGUCAGCUCGUGUCGUGAGAUGUUGGGUUAAGUCCCGCAACGAGCGCAACCCUUGUCAUUAAUUGCCAUCAUUCAGUUGGGCACUUUAAUGAGACUGCCGGUGACAAACCGGAGGAAGGUGGGGAUGACGUCAAGUCCUCAUGGCCCUUAUGGGUAGGGCUUCACACGUCAUACAAUGGUCGGUACAGAGGGUCGCCAACCCGCGAGGGGGAGCCAAUCCCACAAAGCCGAUCGUAGUCCGGAUCGCAGUCUGCAACUCGACUGCGUGAAGUCGGAAUCGCUAGCAAUCGUGGAUCAGCAUGUCACGGUGAAUACGUUCCC